rnacentral:ribozyme from 14 species
CUCUUUUUUUUUUAUUUUUAUUAUCAUUAUUUUUUUUUUAAUUUU